UACAGAGGUCUCAAGCGUUGUUCGGAUUCAUUGGGCGUAAAGGGUGUGUAGGUGGCGCCGUAAGUCGGGUGUGAAAUUUCGGAGCUUAACUCCGAAACUGCAUUCGAUACUGCGGUGCUUGAGGACUGGAGAGGAGACUGGAAUUCCCAGUGUAGAGGUGAAAUUCGUAGAUAUUGGGAAGAAUACCAGUGGCGAAGGCGGCUCACUGGACCGACACUGACGCUGAGGCGCGAAAGCGUGGGGAGCAAACAGG
rnacentral:rRNA from 1 species